CAAGAAGUUCAGCUACUAAGGGGGAGUGGUUUAAGGUGGAGGGACUUGAGCAUGUUUAAAUGCUGAGAGGUCAGAUUCCUCAAGAAGGGAGAGGAUGGGAGCCAGAGCCCAGGUGGAGGGACAGACCUUAGACACAGGAGGACCUCUCAGCUGCUGUAACAGGAGGGGAGGCGGAAUGGACAAGUGAAGCCGUUGUGUGUUUAUAGACUCAGGGAAAUUAUAUGUUGACAGUGAGGGUCAGAGAUGUCAAAGUAGAGAAGUUUUGAAGACAAGUUGUGGAGAGUGUGAGAGCAAGGUGAUCAGAGAAACAUAUGAGAUUUCUGGGCAUUGCUAAGAGCUCAGUUGAGAUUGGUGAUCAUAAAUGUACAGUUGCACACUUUUUUCUGCUGCAUGUUUUCCUCUCGCAUGGCUGGGCUGCCUGCCACAGGCGUGGAAAAAGCAAACACUGGGGUUAUUCAGGAUUGUGAUUUUUAUCAAAAGAAUGCAAUGAAAAGAUACGGGGGCAAAAAGUUUUGGGUCACUGUCAGGAAGAGUGGGAAUGACAGACCAUGGAAUCCAAGCUGGAUUGGACUAGGUCAGUGGACAGGAGCAAUGCCUGGAAUGGGUAAUGGAUGGGUAAAGUGGAGGAUGGGUAGACUGGAGACUGUGGUGAGUUCAGAAGACAUGGCUGACCAAGCAACAUCUCCGGUCAUAAUGUGUUGUUAGAAUCACUGAUUUCUACGAUUCUAUGACUUCUAUGAUUCAUAAAGAGGAAUGUCACACAAUGCCAAGGUCCAGGGUGUGACUCUGAGAGUAGCCGAAGGGGAAUGCAGAGGAAAAGUAUUCCAGUUGGGAGAGGCCAGGAUGUUGGAGGAGGCAGUGUACUGACGCUUAAGUCAUCCAAGAUGAUGGCAGGAUUGGGGUGGAGAAAGUUUAUAAGCUGGUGCCAAAGUCCUCAAUGAGUGAAAGGUGGUAAAUGACAGUGACGAAAAGGAGAAAAGUUAGAACAUUAUUCUGCAUCUUAUUCUUGGAAGGCCGCAAGAUUGGAAUGACAUGAACAAGGGAAUUCACUUGCCAAGUAUCCAUGGUGUUUUCUACUUGGGCCAGAGCUCCGACAGCUCAGCUGCUGCUGUCUGGUCCCCACACGUCCCAGUUCUCCUGACGUGUGUGCUGUCCCUCAUCUCGGUGACAAGGGAGGUGGACUCUUGAGUUGGAUUGGGGCCACGCACUAUUUCUGGCCAAAGGAUUGGGAAGGGACGUGGAGCCCAUGGAAGCCAUACAUCUUGUUGCUGGAGAGGGAGCGAGGAGCACUAGAGGUCUGCUGAAACAGUCUUGCUGCUGGCUCCUUCUCCACCCGCUCCCAACUCUGUGAAGUAUACUCUGUACAACGUGUGCAGCCUCAGACACAACACGACAUCUUGACAUGAAGACUUAAUAUCCACCUGGGAAAUGCCUUGGAGCAAGAGAGUAUAUUCUGCUGCAAAGGGGCUGCCUCCCAGAAGGAAAAAAGAGCAAAGAAGGUUCCCCUCAUAAACACAAUGCUCUCUGCAUAUUUAACUGCUUGCUUUGUUGAGAAAAAAAUUGAAAACUGGAUAAAAGCAGAAAAUUUAUAAAUGAUAUAAACAUAAGUAUGCACAAACAUACAAAACGUGAUAUAAUGUAAAUAGAUUUACAUAGAACACAAGGAGAUUUAGAUAGAUAUAAAUAGAUUUACAUCUCUGAACUCACUGAAUCCUCUCAAUAGCUGAACGAGGCAGGUACUAUUAUUAUUCCCAUUUUACAUGAGGGACAAUUAAGGCACAGAAAAUGUAAGCAGGGAGACAGUGGACAGAAAUAGUUUCAGUAGAAAAACCACUGGGUUAGAAAUGUCAUUUUAAUAGAUAAGAAAAUUACCACUGAAUAUUAACAUACUUGUUAUCAUGACUUAAGUUGAAUCAAUCCAUUGUCUGCAUCUUAUAUAUUUUUUAAGUGAACAAUUCAGCAUCAUUUAGUGCAUUCUCAUUGUACAGCCACCAACUUUUAUCUAGUUCUCAAACAUUUUCGUCACCCUAAAAGGAAAUCCCCUCCCCAUGAAGCAGCUGCUCUCCACACUUCCAUUCUUUCCCCCAGACCUAAGCAACCACUUACCUACUUUCUGUUUCUAUAGAUUUCCCUGUUCCAGAUACUUCAUAUAAAUGAAAUUGUACAAUAGGUGACCUUUCGUGUCUGGCUUCUCUGACUUGGCAUGUUUUGCAGUUCACCCACGUUGUAGUGUAUUAGUACUUUAUUCUUUUUUAUGGCUGAUGAAUAUUCCAUUGAUGUAUAUACAGUACCACAAUUUGUUUAUCCAUUCAUCUUUUGAUGAACAGCUGCCGUUUCCACCUUUUGGCUACGGUGAGGAGUGCUGCUACGGACACGCUUGUACAUGCACUUGUUUGAGGACCUGUUUUCAAUUCUUUUUGCUAUACACCUGGGAGUGGACUUGCUGGGUCAUCUGGUAAUUCUAUGUUUAACUUUUUACGGACCCACCAGACCAUUUUCCACACGGCUGAAUCAUUUUACACUCUCACCAGCAAUGUACAAAGGCUCCAAUUUCUCCAUAUUCUUACUAACACUUGUUAUUUUUCAGGUUUUUUUAAUUACAGCCAUCCUAGUGGAUAAGAACUGGUAUCUCAUUGUGAUUUUGAUAUGCACUUUCUCUAAUGAUUAACAAUAUUGAGCAUAGGAAACUAUGCUAUUGGCCACUUGUAUAUCUUCUUUGGAGAAAUGUCUGUUCAAGUACUUUGCUCACUUUUUGGUUGGGUUUUUUUGUCCUUUUGUUGUUGACUUGUAAGAGUUCUUUAUAUAUCCUGGAUACUAGAUCAUUAGCAGAUAUACGGUUGCAAACAUCUUCUCCUAUUCCUUAUGUUAUCUUCUUAUCUUACAGCUGAGUUUCUAAGUUUAAGUCUAUUUCUUGCUCAAAGAGACUUCUUAUGAUAUUAAAAAGUUGGUUUUAAUAUCUCUAAGUACUGUUGUCUUAUGUCCUUGAAACUAUAAAUGUUUGUUAUGGAAAACUACACUUGUCAAAAUUUGUUAGAAAAAUUUGUUUUUAAACUUUGUGGUUUGUAGUAGGAAAACAUUAACAAGUAUUUAUUAAGUAUCUAUUAUGUCUCUUCUCCUCAAUGCAUUUUAAUUUAAUUUGGAGCAGACUUUUAGUACUGACAUGGUUACAUCAUGCAUAAUCCAGUGUGGUGUAGUGGGGAAACUGGUAGAACCAGAGCCCGCUUCACAGCCCAUGGUAGGAUGGGUUGACAAUAUUUGCUUUGCCCUCCUCCGAGGGCUGCUGUGAGGAUCAAAUGAGAAAAAUGAGAAUCUGCACCAAGGAAUCAGAGGGCUCUGUGGAAACCCUUGCCCACCCCCAACACACACACACACACACACACACACACACACACACACACAAGCACUUCAUAAACUAUUGUCCAUUAUACCGGUGUCGUCCUGGGCAAACCAGGCCAGAUGGUGUCCUCACAGCACUGCUGGAGUGAGUUUUCUCAAACACAAAUCUGACCGUGUUGCUCCGUCCUCUAAAACUCGACAGUGGCUCCCCCUCUUCAAAGAGAGACCUGGUGAUCUGACUCUUCAGCCUCUUCUCUGGCUCUGACCACAGGCCCCGAGCCGGGCCAUUCCAACCUGCUUUCCAGUCUGUAGCACCCUCUGCUACCCCUCGGAGCACCUGUACAUGCCGUUCCACAAGCACUCGGUUAGGAGGCUGGAUAUGCUUCUGAGUUGUGGGAUCAGAGACCUGUGACCAGAUGUAGGUCCUGGGAAGCAUCUGUGUGACCUGUGUGACCUUGGGCCAGCCUCUCUGGGCCUCAGCUUCCUUAUCUGUUAAUUCAGGUGAGCUCAGAGUCCCUUUCAGUCUAUGACAAGAAUUUUUUGUUGAAUUACACCGAAGUCUGCAGUCCUUAAUAACAGUCAUUAUUCACUGACAUAGGCUCUCCUUCACUACAUUAUUUUAAAUCUUUGUAACAACCCUUUAAAAAUCGAUUUAUAAAAAUCACAUCUGUUAUACAGAGGGAAUGGACAAGUAACCCUCUUGAGUCAUACAGCCAGAGAGGGAGGAGCUAGUCAGGGUUCAAACCCAGGCAGCCUGACUCCCAAAACCCACAGUUUUUCACUUCAAGUCCCCUCCUUUAAGACCCUUCCAAUGAUUUUCUCUUCCCUGAGUCUGCCUCUCUGCCUCCCUUGGGUCUCCCACAACUGCCCAUAAAAGAUUUGACUAUUUCUCCACUCCACUAAUUUCCUAAGAGCUUCCGGAGCCCACUUGCAUCCCUCCUAGAGAAGGACCUGGGAGUCCACUUCAUGUUGCAGAGAGAAGACUCCACCUCUCCUCCCUCCCCAGCUAUCUGAGCCACUCUGAGAACAACAAUAACCAUAUCAUGUGACCCUUAUCAAUGUGACCCAAUGAUCAAUUUAUCUAUUGCUGUCUAUCAUCUUAUGAGACUGCCACAUCAAUGCCAUAAGUUAAGUGAGGACUAAUUCUAUAGAUGAGAAGACUGAGGCUCAGAGAGUUCACCUGCCCAUGGUCACACACCUGGGUCCAAGUAUAUUUUCCCUCCUGGGUCUUUGUCAUACUGGGUUAAGCUAGCAUUUGGGUAAAUAUCUCAGACCAUGCAUCCCUAAGGUUCUCUUUAUGAACGGCAAAGGGAAGGGGGUGUCUCUGGCCACUGAUAGCCACACACACAAGUGCCACUCAGAACAGACACUGGCCUUGAUCAUAAAGAAUCCAUCAGUGGCUGGCCUUUAGUGAGUCUAUUUUCAGGGCUGUUUCAGUGCUCUCACAUUCCACUACACAGGCUUCCCACUGUGCCCCAUGAGCUUGACAGUCCCCCAAAAUAUCCCUGAUAACCUCAGUGACCGAUGUUCACCAGAUGCUGCUCAGGCCUCAUGUUCUCACAUGGAGAUGAUGGAAAAAUCUGCCAUUACCCAGUGGGAACUGACCGAUAGUCCAGGGUGCUGAUGCCUCUCCAGGUAUGGAAAAGUGGAGGAAUUUCAGUGGAGUGAUGUGGUGACUUUGGUUGGUUGACUGGUUUUGAUUUGGAGGCCAUUUGUCUGGCUUUGGAUUAUCUGAAUGUUUAUCCUUCCUGUUUUAAUCAUCCCUACUUCUUUUUCGAAUCCAUGUGUCACCAGGAGAAAGAAGUAUAAACACGUGAGGUCGCUGUUUUCAGCAUUCGGUAGUCAAUGCCAAACCAGGCCCUGCCUGAAAACCAGUCUGGCAUCGACAACCGAGAAGGAGAUAGGGUUACAUUUCUUGUAAACCAACAGCUUGAGUUUCAUUUUGGCACAUUAUGGGUUUUGUUGGUACUAUUGUUGUUCUGGACUGAAGGAUAGGCUUGUUUUUCAAAGCUGGGUUUAUGGUUUAAUGUAGCAUUGCUUCUUGAAACUUGCUGAUUAAAUCCUAUUCAACUUAAUGCAUUCACAGUUAUUACAAAUUUUAGCAAUCCACUCUCCUUUUAGAGUGAUCUUUCUAAAUUGCAGAGGUGACUGUGCUCCUCCUUAUUUGGGACAUUCUGGUCAAAAACUACUUUUCAGACUUAGAUCAGGCAGCUAUUUACCUGGUAUUCCAGCAGCACUGUGAAGUGGCUGGCCUUUUUGACUGGUUUAGAUCCAUGCCAUUCAGGUCCUUAACCAUUUUGAAUAUCACUCCUACUUAUUAACUUUUCCUUCUACCCUUAUCCUUAUGGCUUUGAGUCAAGCCAUUCCAGAAAACACCUCAUGCCCUGAGUAAACCAAGAUCUUUUAUCUUUUCAUACCUUCGCCCUGGAAGUCCAUAAUGUUCCCUAACUUCUCUCAUCUUUCAAUGUUCUCAGGUCUGUGAAACCUCCCCUAACCCCUUCCUCUCUCCCUUUUCCCACCAUACACGUUGUUAGUCAUUCCCUCCUCUCUGAUUCUAUAGCACUGUAUAACACCAAUGAGUUAAGAGACACAUUUUUUUUUUUUUACUACAGGGGGAAAAUAUCCCAAAAGAGUCAAGUCCAUAUCAUCAGAAAAAGACAAACUAGGAAAGUAAAUCCUUCCCAUAAGGGUUGUACAGAAUCACAGAGUUGGAAGGGAUCUAACAGGAUCCUCACCACCUGCUUCUGCAGUACCCUCCAUUGAUGUUUUUUCAGCUUCCAAUCAAACACUUCCACGAAUGGAGAAGUCAGUGUUUAGAAAGUUCUUCUUUACACUGAGCAAGAACUGAUUUUGCAAUAAACUCUACUUAUCUGUCCUUGGUGUGCCUUCCAGAGAUGUAAAUAAGUCUACACCCCAUUCUACUUGACGGCUGUUCAGAUAUUGGAGGAUGGCUCUCAUCUGCCUUCUGUCUUUCAGAAAGAGACUGGGGUCCCAGAAUCAUUCUUGCUGGCAUGCUAGGAAGACGGCCAUGCCAUGACUGUCCCAUAAGCCAAAUGUACCAAUCAGGUUAUCUCCCAAAUGUUGGCACCAGGUUGUUGUUUGGGAGGAACAUAAAUACACGGUAUUCCAGAAUUGAUUAAUUUAAGCCUAAGCAGUACAUCCCUUACAUAUAAGGUUACAAAUGAAGAAAAACAAAAACAACAGAAGGUAUUUCUUAGAGAGACAGGAAAAGUUCCAAACAUUCUGAAAUGGAUGGAGCAUAUUAAAGUCCAGCUGCAGCUCAUUAUUUGUGAAAUGUUAUGCCUGUUUCUUGCAGAGGGACAAGGAGGCAGCGAUGAGGCCUGUGUGUCUCUCAGAGCCUACACACGCUUGCUUGACUUAGGAAAAAUUCCUAGGAGGGGCCACUGUGGGGAGCUGGAGACCACUCUGAAAUGAAAUCCAAUUCUAGUAAAAUUAAGUAUGUGCAUGAUGGAAGCAAUCUGGGCAGUGUCUGAAUCUAUUCUGGGAAAUGAGCCUGGAAUUUUUCUCUGAGAAUCCACUCACAAUAGUGAUGUAUUCAGGUAUGGUUUGAAUGCAGUUUUGCCCAGAGGCAGAGCAAUGGACUCAAUACCCUCUAAGCUCCCUCUAGAGGUUCAAGUGUGCAGCUGCCAGCAGAGCUCCGGGGCUCAGAAGCCUGCCCUAGUGUCCACAGGAGUCAAGAGACACACAAGAAGUUAUCAGUUCCUUCUGGUGAUUAGAGCCAGAUUUGUUGGUUGAAAAAAAUUAGAAAACAAAACAAAACUUCUCCAUUCUCAAAAUAAAGCAAUUCUGAGAUCAAAUACAUUGUGAAUGUACAUUCAUAUAGAAGAGGUAGUAACUGGUAAUAUUCUAAAAUUUCAAAUUAGGUAUAAGCUGAUGGUUCACAGUGCAAUGAAGAAAGCACAAACUCUUAAUGACUUCCUAGAUGUGCUGACUUCUAAAGGGGCAUGUACCUUUUGGUUAAUGGAUGACGUGAUCAACACGAUCAUCAUUAUAGCCACCAAUUGUUGAGCUCUCAUUAUAUGCGGGGCUACAUGCUACAUACUUUACUCACAUUUUGUCAUGCAAUCUUCACAAGCCUCCUUUUAGAUGGAUACUAUGAUUAGCACCAUUUACAGAGUGGGAAGCAGGGACUUACAGGAAAAUCCUUUGUACAAGUUCAUGCAGAUCAUAUGUGGUAGGACUCUGGUCUGUGCUCUCAAACACAAUAAAAUGUAGUGCUUUCUCAUCAGAGGAAACUGGACUCAGCAAGAUUAAUGACCAGUCCCAGGCACCCAGCAAGCAAGAGUCGUUAACAAGGGCCUUGAUUGAGAAUGUACACAUAAUGCCUGCUCCAUUGCAGAUAUUCAAUGAAAACCUUUCCUUCUGAAAUGACCACCCAUCUGACUACAUGUACCCUGAGUGUGUCUUCCAGAGCACAGAGCCCCGGGGAGACAGUCCAUGCCAUUUAACCUUUGCAUCCUGUCACCUAGACCUAUCUGCUGCCUAUCCCGGGUGCUGAAUGCAUAUUUGCUGAAUGAAUCAUGAAUGACUGAAUGCCACUUUUGUCUUCUAAGCUUACAAUCUGCCAGGAAUGACAAGAUUUGCGCAUACACACACACAGGGCCCAGUAUAAUUAUAAUAGUAGUCAGAAGUGAGUUAAAAUACAGUAAAGAUAUCUGUCAGCAAUCCCACACUCUUCAUUUACAUGAAGCCAGAAAAACUUGCCCACGUACAAGGAGACAUGUGCAAGAAAGAGGAUUGCAAAAAUUGUUUCCAGUAGCAAACAACUAAACUUUUAUCAACAGUGACAUGGAGAAGUACAUUUCAGUUUACUGAUACAAUGGAAUGUUAUAGUGAUUAAAAUAAAUGGCCUAAAAUUAAACGUAUUACAUGAAUCACUCUCAAAACACAAUAAGUGAAAAUAUAAUGAUAGUAAUAGCUAACAUUUAUUUAACACUUAUCAAGUGCCAGGCACUACUAUAUGUGCUUUGCAUGUAUUAACUCACUCAGUCCUCACAACAUCCCUUUGAGGGUAGAGACUAUCACCAAACCCAUCUUAGAAAGGAGGAAGUUGAAGAAGGAUAUCUACAGCUCACAUAAUUGCUAGGUGUUUGAACAUAUGCAAAGACUAUAAUUUAAGAAUACAUCCAUAUGUACUAAAGGUAUUAAAACAUGCAUGGGAAUCAUUAAACCUCAAAAUUAUGAUAAGUGAUUACGUUAGAGGUGGUGAAAAGCUGGGGACUGUGAUCAGAGAGGGGAAUAGCAGGGGCAUGAAAUGUAUUUAUGAUCUUUCAUUUCUUCAGCUGGAUGACUGUUACAUAGAUAUUCUUUAUAUUUAUACUUUUUCUACGUCUGAAAUAUUUUAUAAUAACUACAGCGAUGAACAAGCAGAAACUAAACACCUUGAGGGCUCAGAGGAAAGGAACAUUAUUCCUGAUACUGCAUGGUGAAGGAGCAUCUAACUUGGACCUAAACAUUAUGGGCAGGACUAGCGAAUGUGGAAAUCAGAGCGUGGGCAGUGUGAGGAUGCUGUGCGCAAAGGGGGAAGGUGCAACAGGGCUCAGAUUGUUACAAAGACAUUCCCCUUCCACUCAAAGGCUCCUUGGAGGCCCAACCUGAGGGACUCAGACCCUGGACUCAGUGGCUCCAAUGUCUACUUGGCCUCCUUUCUGGGGCCACAGGUGAGGGACUGGGGGGCACCAGCCUCUGCCAGGGCCAGGGGUGGCUGGGAAUGCUUGAAUCUGCUGGCAGGUUGUGGCUCUCUCUCAGAUUGCAGGGGACGGGGGCACUUGUCUGCUGCUCAAAGGCAGAUUGGCUGGGAUGUGGAAGUCUGUGUUCACAGGCACGAAUGAUGGCUGACAGUGUCUGCUUUUGAGUUUUUGGAAGAAAGAUAGUGACUUGCUGCAACUCAAAUCCCAGAGCAUGACUGGCUGACAAUCGGGGAAAAGUGUUUUGCUGAACAAAACUGGACCAAUGGUUGGCCGGAAAAUCCAGGGCACAGUGGAAGACCUCAGACAGUCCAGUUUUCAGCCAGCUGCGGCAUUGGGUCUGGACAGCCCCAAACUCCAGAUAUUGCCUAAGCCAAGCAGACCUCCCAGACACUGUGCUGAACAUGGGCCUCAGCCUCCUCCCCCACCCUACUACUGAUCCUAAGGGGACUCGCAGUGCCUGGCCACACUGCUGACCUGUUCUCACGGGCCGUUUUAGUUGCUUGUGGUCUGGAUCAGAAAAUCUGGGACAGGAUAACUCAGAGCCUGGAUCACUUUGCUAGCGCCUCUGGGGCAACUGCUGGUUUCCCAAAUAUACGCUCAAAGAGAAAGAGCUUUGUUGUUUGAUUGAUAGGAGUAUCUGGUUGGUGUUGCAUUCAAAGGAAGGCAUUGCCUUGUCGUGCAAUGGGAAGACCUAGAAGUUGUCUGAAGAUGGGGCCCUGAAUGCCGGCUCUUCCUCUGCUUCUAUAUGUCUGAUCCUGGACAAACUACUUGGCUUCUCUAAACCUCAGUUUCUUCAUCUGUAAAACAGGGGCCAUAAGAGCAACCACCUAAAAGGUUGCUGUGAGGAGCAAAGACAAUACACUGAUGGUUACCAUUUCUUGGUUGUUCACACUGCACCUAGCUCUGUGCUCAGCAUUUUGAAACAGAAUCUCACAUAAGCUUCCUAGCACCUCUAAGAAGGAACUGGGGGCCAGAGGGCUUCAGUAAUUUGCCCAGUCUUACAGCUCAUAAACUGUGGAUCUGGGAUUCAAACCCAGGGCUGCCUGACUCCCAAGACUAUUACAGCACUGGAGGCUGCAAAGUGCUUUGCAAAUGUUAUUUCCAUGCGCAUGUGGAAGGUAUAAACUCAUCCCAACUAGGUUAAAAUAUCAUCCUUUGAAUUGACCUGAUUUGGGAUUAACUAAACCUAAAAUACACAAGCUGGAUUAGGGACCUGUUUCCUUUCUGUCUGAGCCCUCGGUGGGCCGGGUCGGACAUCAAGAACUCCCCAACACAAGACCAACCUUCCCUGGGGGCCCCAGGCCUCCCAAUUCCCAGGGUGGUGCCCCUGGACCUUAGUUCUCUGUCUUCAUGGUUUCUUGGCAAUGGUCACCAACUGGGUGAUAAAGGAUUUUUUUUGUAGUUUCCCAAAGCUAAGUCCUCAAACCCCAAAUAUUCACUUCAUUUGCCAAACACUUCCCUGAAUUAAGUGCUCUGGAAAUUAAUCUUUUCAAUAGUUUCUCUGUAUCCACUAACCUAUGAACAGGUCAAGCCAUUUCUCUUACACUGGUAUUAUUUUUAAUAUAGUAUUAAAUAUUAAGGGUUUGGCACUCCCAGUUUCAUACCCCUUACCACUUCAGAUAAAUUAAUGAGCUACUUCUUUAUAAAAUGUCUAAAAUGUUAAAUCAUGUCACAUGUGGCCACGAGAGAACUUUUAGGAGUUUUGGCUGUAAGAACAUAUCUUCUCUGGCAGAACCAAAUUCUUUCUUCAUAUGACCCAGCAUGAGAAUCCUAGAGCUAUAUGGCCUCCAGCUGGAGGUCCUUUGGGGACAUGCUUUUCUGACUUUCAGAAACCAAAGCAGGAAUUUACACACUAUUCUUUCACAUGAAUAAAUGUUACUGAGCUUCUGGCCACAUUUGGACCCUACACAUAUUUUUCAGAGUCAUAGUUUGAGAAGCUGUAGCCUCUGGAUAAUUGGAAUCACAGCAUUUAAGAACUGGAGGUCACCUGAGGAAUCAUUUAGUAGAGGAUUCUCAAAUUCCUGAUGAAUACGGGCCGGCCCCAUGGCUGAGUGGUUAAGUUCACAUGCUCGGCUUCAGCGGCCCAGGGUUU